UACGUAGGGUACAAGCAUUAAUCGGAAUUAUUGGGCGUAAAGGGCGCGUAGGCGGAGAUGUAAGUCAGGUGUGAAAUACCAAAGCUCAACUUUGGUGCUGCAUUUGAAACUGCAUUUCUUGAGGACUGACGGAGAAAGCGGAAUUCCACGAGUAGCGGUGAAAUGCGUAGAUACGUGGAGGAACACCGGUGGCGAAAGCGGCUUUCUAGUUUUUACCUGACGCUGAGGCGCGAGAGCAAGGGGAGCAAACAGG
rnacentral:rRNA from 1 species